UACGUAGGGCGCAAGCGUUAUCCGGAAUUAUUGGGCGUAAAGAGCUCGUAGGCGGUUUGUCGCGUCUGCCGUGAAAGUCCGGGGCUCAACUCCGGAUCCGUGGCGGUGGUCGGGCAGACUAGAGUGAUGUAGGGGAGACUGGAAUUCCUGGUGUAGCGGUGAAAUGCGCAGAUAUCAGGAGGAACACCGAUGGCGAAGGCAGGUCUCUGGGCAUUAACUGACGCUGAGGAGCGAAAGCAUGGGGAGCGAACAGG
rnacentral:rRNA from 1 species